AGUGAACGCUGGCGGUAGGCCUAACACAUGCAAGUCGAACGGCAGCACAGUAAGAGCUUGCUCUUACGGGUGGCGAGUGGCGGACGGGUGAGGAAUACAUCGGCAUCUACUUUUUCGUGGGGGAUAACGUAGGGAAACUUACGCUAAUACCGCAUACGACCUACGGGUGAAUGCAGGGUAGCUUCGGACCUUGCGCGAUUGACUGAGCCGAUGUCGGAUUAGCUAGUUGGCGGGGUAAAGGCCCACCAAGGCGACGAUCCGUAGCUGGUCUGAGAGGAUGAUCAGCCACACUGGAACUGAGACACGGCCCAGACUCCUACGGGAGGCAGCAGUAGGGAAUAUUGGACAAUGGGCGAAAGCCUGAUCCAGCCAUACCGCGUGGGUGAAGAAGGCCUUCGGGUUGUAAAGCCCUGUUGUUAGGAAAGAAAAGCAGCAGGUGAAAACCCCGCUGUUCUGACGGUACCCAAAGAAUAAGCAACGGCUAACUUCGUG
rnacentral:rRNA from 1 species